UCCCUGGCAGUUCAGUGGUUAGGACUUUGUGAUUUCACUGCAGGGGAUGCAGGUUUGAUUCCUGUUUGGGGAA
rnacentral:tRNA from 1 species